rnacentral:rRNA from 1 species
ACUCAAAGGAAUAGACGGGGGCCCGCACAAGCGGUGGAGCAUGUGGUUCAAUUCGAAGCAACGCGCAGAACCUUACCUGGGCUUGACAUCUGGGGAACCUCCCGGAAACGGGAGGGUGCCUUCGGGAACCCCAAGACAGGUGCUGCAUGGCUGUCGUCAGCUCGUGUCGUGAGGUGUUGGGUUAAGUCCCGCAACGAGCGCAACCCCUGUCACUAGUUGCCAUCGGGUCAAGCCGGGCACUCUAGUGAGACUGCCGGUGUUAAGCCGGAGGAAGGUGGGGAUGACGUCAAGUCCUCAUGGCCUUUAUGCCCAGGGCUACUCACGUGCUACAAUGGUCGGUACAGAGGGUCGCGAGCCCGCGAGGGGGAGCUAAUCCCAAAAAGCCGGCCUCAGUUCGGAUUGAAGUCUGCAAUUCGACUUCAUGAAGGCGGAAUCGCUAGUAAUCGCGGAUCAGAACGCCGCGGUGAAUACGUUCCCGGGCCUUGCACACACCGCCCGU